AAAAUUACCUGGCAGGGGAGAUACCAUGAUCACAAAGGUGGUUUUCUGAAGGUGAGGCUCAUCCAUUGCACUCUGGAUGUGCUGACCCCUGUGAUUUCCCCAAAUGUGGGAAAUUCAACGCAUGAUUUGUGGUAGUGAGGGACUGUGUUCGCGCUUUUCCUUG
ensembl:snRNA U1 U1 spliceosomal RNA